rnacentral:rRNA from 1 species
AACGAACGCUGGCGGCGCGUCUUAAACAUGCAAGUCGAACGAUCUGUAGCAAUACAGGGAGUGGCGGACGGGUGAGGAACACGUAGGAAUCUACCUUGAAGAGCGGGACAACUUUGGGAAACCGGGCUAAUACCGCAUAGUACAGAGAUGUUAAAGGGCUAGCAAUAGUCGCUUCGAGAUGAGCCUGCGGUCUAUCAGCUUGUUGGUGAGGUAAUGGGCUCACCAAGGCUACGACGGAUAGCCGGUCUGAGAGGAUGAUCGGCCACACUGGCACUGAGACACGGGCCAGACUCCUACGGAGGCAGCAGUUAAGAAUCUUGCGCAAUGGGGGAACCCUGACGCAGCGACGCCGCGUGAAGGAUGAAGGCUUUCGGGUUGUAAACU